CACCUUGGCUGUGAAACGGGGUGUGUGUGGAGGGGUGGUGGGGAGGGGGCAGCCUGCGGGCGGGGACGUGGAGACGCGCAGGCUGGGGGCGGCGCAGGCGGGCUGAGGGGUCCUGGGCUCGCCAGGGCCUCGUCUGGGGUUAUGACUCCCGCGGGAAGCACGACUGCUUCGGAGAGUUCUCCACCGCCUUCGAGGAGAUGCAGAAAGCCUUUGGGGAGAACCAGGUGGCCGCUGACUUCACCCUCGGAACAGCUGCUCCCUUCACUAUAUCAACUCCUUCCAGCCCAGCGAGUACCUGCAGGCCCUGGUGGCCGUGGGCGAGAUCUGCCAGGACUAUGACAGGUGCGCUGGCCUCCCCACCCCGGGCGCACCCCCGCUGUCCCCCUCACCUUCACACAGACCCAGGCUUCCGAGUCCCACUGCACAGACCAGUAAACUGGGGCUGUGGGGGCCAAGCUCCCACACCGGUGGCUCUGCCCCUUGUCUGCGUGCAUGCUGGGCAGCUCCUUUGUGGCUUUUUGCCUCAGUUUCCCCCAUGUGGCUCAGGGUGGGGCCUGGCCCCCCCAAAAGGGUCAGCCUGGUCUCCUGGUUCUGUUGAUGUCUCCCCCCCACCCCAUCCCCAGGAGACCAGGGCCCUGGGUGAUGGGGCCACCUCUCUUUCAGCGACAAGAGGCUCUCUGCUUUGGGGUUUGGAGCCCAGAUCCCUCCCAAGGAUGAGGUGUCCCAUGACUUUGCCAUCAAUUUCAACCCGGAGGACGGCAUCCAGGGCAUGGUGGAGGCGUCCCAGAACUGCCUGCCCAGGGUCCAGCUGUAUGGCCACCACGUGGCUCCCAUCAUCUCCAAGGUGGCCUGCACGGCUGCAGCUGAGGAACGCAGCGGAGAGGCUUCUGUAGGCGGUGGGCGGGCACUGCGGGGACCGCGUGCCUUAGAAGGUGUGCCUGCUGCUGGGGAGGUGGGACCGGAUGGGGGUUUGCAGAGGUUGACAGAGCAGCCCGCGGGAGGCCCUGAGGCAGGGAGCGAGAGGCAGCUGGGUGGCAGUGGGGCUGAGAGACCAGGAGGCCCCAGAGCCAGUGGGGUAAGGUGAAUUCUUGCCCUGGAGGCUGACUUGCCGAGCCCGCAGGCAGCCCGAUGCUUAUGGUUCUCUUGGUCCUAUUGUGCAUACGUCGUUAUUUUGUUUGCAUGUGUUCUUGUUUGGUUUUUUUGCUUUUUGAGGGUUGCACCCAAAGCAUGUGGAGGUUCCCAGGCUAGGGGUCGAAUCGGAGCUGCAGCCACCGGCCUACGCCAGAGCCACAGCAACGCGGGAUCCGAGCCGCGUCUGCAACCUACACCACAGCUCACGGCAACGCCGGAUCGUUAACCCACUGAGCAAGGGCAGGGACCGAACCCGCGACCUCACGGUUCCUAGUCGGAUUCGUGAACCACUGCACCACGACGGGAACUCCCAUACAUCGUUAUUUUGUUUGCAUGUGUUCUUGUUUGGUUUUUUUGCUUUUUGAGGGUUGCACCCAAAGCAUGUGGAGGUUCCCAGGCUAGGGGUUCAAUCGGAGCUGUAGCCACCGGCCUACGCCAGAGCCACAGCAACGCGGGAUCCGAGCCGCGUCUGCAACCUACACCACAGCUCACAGCAUCACCAGAUCCUUAACCCACCGAGCAAGAGCAGGGAUCUUGCUGCAACCUCACGGUUCCUAACUGGAUUCGUUUCCGCUGCACCAUGACAAGAACUCCUGUUUGCAUGUGUGUGUUUUUUUGUUUUUGUUUUUGUCUUUUUUAGGGCCACAUCUGCGGCAUGUGGAGGUUCCCAGGCUAGGGGUCUACUCGGAGCUACAGCUGCCGGCCUACACCAGAGCCACAGCAACGUGGGAUCCGAGCCAUGUCUGCCACCUACACCACAGCUCACGACAAUGGGGGAUCCUUAACGCACUGAGUGAGGCCAGGGAUCGAACCUGCAACCUCGUGGUUCCUAGUUGGAUUCGUUUCCGCUGCGCCAUGAUGGGAACGCCUGCGUGUGUUUUUAAUUUGCACAAAUAAUACUGAGCUAAAGGCUGCAUUCUACUCCAGUUUUCAUCCUGUUUUGUAGAUCUGCCCCUGCUGCUGUGGGCAUGGCUUCUCUGUUGCUUUCUUUCAAGUUUUUUUUUGAACAAAACCCUGAAAGAAUGGAGGGAGAGCCGGCAGCUUUGGCGCCUUCCCCGGGACCUCUCCUGUCCCUGCGUGUUCCUCUUUCCUCCUUCCCGCCGUGCGAGAGCAGGCUGACCGCCCCGGAGUCCUCCGGGUCCAUCUGCUCACAGCCAGGACCCUGUGCGCGGCCGCAGUUCGGCUCUCAGGCCCACAGUGAGGGCGGUUCCCUCCUCCCACCUCGCCCCUGCAUCUCUCUGUCCCCAUCCCAGGCCCCGCAGACCCAUGUCCCAUGUCCGGGGCCCCUGACCAGAUCGUUCCUCUCAGCCCUGCUCUGUCCUCGGGCCGCCCGUCACCGGAGCCGUGCUCACCGCUGUUGCCCCUUCACCCCGUCCCACCUCGAUGCUGCGGUUCCUGAAUGGCACCCUGGCACACGUACCAGUUUCGAGUGACUGGAUUUAGAUCCGGUGCCUUAUAGAACAUCCUGCGUCUGCCUUCGCCGCCCCAACGGUGGUUCCAUUGCACUAGGAUUUCUGGCGCAGGAAAGGGUCACGUUCGGUCAUGUCCCCGUGUUAUGCUGGAGCAAGUCUCGGACACAGAAUUUCAUUUGUAAACAUUAGCAUAAACCCUGAAAGAGAGAAAAUGGAGGCCAAUGCUUUUGUCACACCUGAAACCCAGUGACAGUUCCCCGGUGUGAGAUGUCCAGCCGCCUUGUCCACCAGCGACGGCUUUUCCAGGAGGAGAAGGGUUAAAGGUCAGGGCCUCGACCUGGCGGUGGGUGUGUCCUUCCUGCUGUGAGACCCCUGCUCCCUUGGUCCCCUGUGUAUGUCCACGAGCGCCCCCUGGAGGCUGCUGACCUUGCCCUUGGGGGCCCGCCCCUCCUGGCUCCUGCAAGG
rnacentral:lncRNA from 1 species